rnacentral:rRNA from 1 species
CCUACGGGUGGCAGCAGUGAGGAAUAUUGGUCAAUGGACGAGAGUCUGAACCAGCCAAGUAGCGUGAAGGAUGACUGCCCUAUGGGUUGUAAACUUCUUUUAUAUGGGAAUAAAAUGUUCCACGUGUGGGCUUUUGUAUGUACCAUAUGAAUAAGAAUCGGCUAACUCCGUGCCAGCAGCCGCGGUAAUCCGGAGGAUCCUGGCGUUAUCCGGAUUUAUUGGGUUUAAAGGGUGCGCAGGCGGCGUGUCAAGUCAGCGGUAAAAUGUCGGGGCUCAACCCCGGCCGGCCGUUGAAACUGGCGUGCUAGAGUGGGAGAGAAGUAUGCGGAAUUCGUGGUGUAGCGGUGAAAUGCAUAGAUAUCACGAAGAACCCCGAUUGCGAAGGCAGCAUACCGGCUCCAAACUGACGCUGAGGCACGAAAGCGUGGGUAUCGAACAGGAUUAGAUACCCCAGUAGUC